rnacentral:snRNA from 1 species
AUAGAGCAUAUGGAUGAACCAU